CCAGCAACAUCCAAUUCAGAGGCCCAGUAGCGAGGCCCAGCAACAACUCUUGUUUAAGCCCAACACAACUUUUUGUUUAAAGCCCAGCACAACUCACUGUACAAAUUUAUAAAACACAGUUAAAAACCAUAAAAUAUAUUAACAAAUAAUGGAAUUGACACCCUAGGGUUUUUGUAUACGAACUCCCUCGUUCAUUCUUCACUGCCUUGUCUACCCCCGCAGCUUUUCCAGGAUCACCGAUGGUUCGUGUCGUGUUUUCAGUUUGAGAUUUACUGGAAUACAGUCGUUUAUAAGUUGAAGCUUUGAGUUGAAUUUCCACACUUGAACCUCCAUACAUCCAUCUUCCUUUUGUUUUGGAACGCUGAUGUUUUCAUGUAUAUUCCAUGGGCUUGGGGUCAUGACAUAGACAAUUUGAGCUUCAUUCUUGUUUUGUCGAACUAGAUCUCUUACUAUCAACGGGCAGUGCAACCCGACACAGUUUUCUGAAAGCUUAUAAACAAGGUAACACGAGUAAACUGUAUCAUGUGACAACAUCUGACUUUGAAUUUUGCACUUGAUACGAAAUUUGUGUUGUCAUGGUAGCUCAAUCGCCUCUUGAAAUCUGCAUCAAUUGAACAUAAUUUUUUACGCAACCUAAUAUACAUAUAUGAAUUGUUUGUUUGGAUUAGAAGAUCAUAAAACAAACCUCGACUUGACUGAGGGGUGCACGUGAAAUGCUUUAGAUUGGCAGAUUCAUACAAAACUUCCACUGCUGAAAGCAUAAGAUGUUUCUUUGUGUCGGCUUCUUUUAAGGAUAAACACUGUUUAUCAAAGGGUUGAAUAUAAUUUUAUUUAUUACCAAACAAUAUUAAUAAUCUCCUGAGUAUUUUUACUUGAUCCGUGUUUGAGUCCGAAUUCAAAGUUUCUUUGACUUGCUCAACUUCUUCGUUUUUCACCUGUUUAAAAUUUACAAGACCAUAGUAUAAAAUUGUUGUUGUAAUAGAUACAUCCAUCAUCGUUUUAAAAGAUGAAGAAUUGUAGAAUGGAAACUUAUGUCUCGGAACUCAAUUCCCUCAACAUAGAUGGAUUCAGUUCCACAAUGGUAUCUUGAAAAGCUUUCAAGUAGAACCUCAAAAUCAGUAUCUUUCUUGUCACACAAAAAUCGACACAAUUCAAUCUUCAUCCACUUGUCGUUUCUCCACGUUGCAAAAUAUACAUGUAAGGUCUCGCCUCCCAUUUUGUACUUUAGGUUCACAUAUAUUUGUUUAUUUGAAGCUUUUCUUGUAUCACGAAAUUUAAAGAUAAUAUAAGCCCCGUAUUUGACUCCUGGAGAUAAAAACUGUGUUGUUAUCUUGACUGGGAUCUUCAGCUUCGAGGUAUAAAACACCUCUACUACUUUUGGAAACCUGCAUGGAUUAAAAGAUAUUCAAUUAAGUUUAUAUUCGUCAAUAAAUGUUUAUCCAGACUCUUAAAGCGGUUAUUUACUGAUAUCUAAUAGACCCCGUAUACGAACCUUGAUUCCUGAAGAGAACGCCAUUUGUAUGAAGUAUGAUUUUUGUACAGAAACAUUCUUGCAGAUAUCAUUUCAUUUCUUUCUCCAUUACUGCCAAGUGAAAACAACUACAUACAAGACAAAAUGAAUCAAGCACAAAUUCUAUCAGAAUUAAAUUAAAUGAUUGUAUGAUUUUGGAACAUUAUAUCUCUUUUAGUAGUUAAACAUAUAUUUUUCUUAAAAGAGUUGAGAAAAUGAUAUAAAUCAAUGUUUUGUAUUUAAAGAAAUAUUCACACAAAAUAGUUAAGUGAAAUGAAAUAUUAGAAAUUAGUUGUUUUCACUUGGCAGUAAUGGAGAAAGAAAUGAAAUGAUAUCUGCAAGAAUGUUUCUGUACAAAAAUCAUACUUUAUACAAAUGUCGUUCUCUUCAGGAAUCAAGGUUCGUAUACGGGGUCUAUUAGAUAUCAGUAAAUAACCACUUUAAGAGUCUGGAUAAACAUUUAUUGACGAAUAUAAACUUAAUUGAAUAUCUUUUAAUCCGUGCAGGUUUACGAAAGUAGUAGAGGUGUUUGAUACCUCGAAGCUAAAGAUCCCAAUCAAGAUAACAACACAGUUUUUAUCUUCAGGAGUCAAAUACGGAGCUUAUAUUAUCUUUAAAUUUCGUGAUACAAGAAAAGCUUCAAAUAAACAAAUAUAUGUGAACCUAAAGUACAAAAUGGGAGGCGAGACCUUACAUGCAUAUUUUGCAACGUGGAGAAACGACAAGUGGAUGAAGAUUGAAUUGUGCCGAUUUUUGUGUGACAAGAAAGAUACUGAUUUUGAGGUUCUACUUGAAAGCUUUUCAAGAUACCAUUGUGGAACUGAAUCCAUCUAUGUUGAGGGAAUUGAGUUCUGAGACGUAAGUUUCCAUUCCACAAUUCUUCAUCUUUUUAAACGAUGAUGGAUGUAUCUAUUACAACAACAAUUUUAUACUAUGGUCUUGUAAAUUUUAAACAGGUGAAAAACGAAGAAGUUGAGCAAGUCAAAGAAACUUUGAAUUCGGACUUAAACACGGAUUAGGUAAAAAUACUCAAGAGAUUAUUAAUAUUGUUUGGUAAUAAAUAAAAUUAUAUUCAACCCUUUGAUGAACAGUGUUUAUCCUUAAAAGAAGUCGACACAAAGAAACAUCUUAUGCUUUCAGCAGUGGAAGUUUUGUAUGAAUCUGCCAAUUUAAAGCAUUUUCACGUGCACCCCUCAGUAAAGUCGAGGUUUGCUUUAUGAUCUUCUAAUCCAAACAAACAAUUCAUAUAUGUAUAUUAGGUUGCGUAAGAAAUUAUGUUCAAUUGAUGCAGAUUUCAAGAGGCGAUUGAGCUACCACGACAACACAAAUUUUGUAUCAAGUGCAAAAUUCAAAGUCAAUGUUGUCACAUGAUACAGUUUACUCGUGUUACCUUGUUUAUAAGUUUUCAGAAAACUGUGUCGGGUUGCACUGCGCGUUGAUAGUAAGAGAUCUAGUUCGACAAAACAAGAAUGAAGCUCAAAUUGUCUAUCUCAGGACACCAAGCCCAUGGAAUAUACUUGAAAACAUCAGCGUUCCAAAACAAAGGGAAGAUGGAUGUAUGGAGGUUCAAGUGUGGAAAUUCAACUAAAAGUUUCAACUUAACGACUGUAUUCCAGUAAAUCUCAAAUUGAUAACUUAUGAGGGAACUAUGUCCGGCCUUAUUGUAUGUGGCCCCGGUUAAACCAACAGUUACAGUACCUAAAUGUUUAUAUAUGUUGAUUUGGUGUCGUAUAUAUGAGUUGAAUCUUAAAAUAAAAUUUGGUGCUUUCAUUAGUUCUGUCUGACGUGAUGAAUAGAGAACCAAAAACAAGCCUUCAGGUAUUCGUUUGACUUUGACUUGUGGUUUUGAAUUUUGACUUUGACAUGUUCUUGAAUUCUUUUAUCUACGAAUGAACGUGUGCCGUGCAAAAGCACCUGAUCGAUGCAGUUUGGACCAACGUCUCUAUAACAGACGAGUUUCUUCCCAGAGUCAAUCAUUCGGUCCGGAUAUGGUUUCUGUUAAAUCAGUAGCUACAGUUGUAUACAUGGAUUAUAGAGUCAACUUACGGAUGGUGACUUCCUAUUAAUUUCUUAGUAGCUGAAAAUGGUUAAAUGAUCAGCUAUCAACGCUUAGAUCAAAUGUUCCCAAAAUAAGCAAGGUGGAUGGAUAAAAGUUCAAACCCGGAGCGUUAUCAACAAUGAGCACACUUGAAGCACUUGGUUUGACAUUCGACAAUGGGUCAUCAGUUGUUUUAAUGGUUGUUUAUUUCAAAGUUCAUAUUCUAAGGUACACGACAUACCCUUACCUUAACAAGACCUAAAUUUGGCAGACAAUUAACAAGCACCAAAAACUUUUCUAAAACACGCAAGGCAGAACGAACCAAGAGACAAAAUGCACUCGCUACAAGGGCUAAACACGGGCCACAAGACACAUCUAUUGUUAAGAGCGCUAGACAUCAUUCGGUUUUACGCGCCGCAACGCGUGCGAAGAAAAUCCUAGUUAAGAUGAAUAGUAAAUACACGAGGGGAAGAAAAGUUAGUACAUUUAAAAGUCAAACUAAUGAAUUUGGAGGUUUGUAUAGUACUUUUCUUUUCCAUCUCUUUAGAAAAAAUCAUAGACUUGACUUAAAAAAAAAACAAAUUUAGUUUUCGAAUUUUCGAAUUGGGUUUUCAGUCAAUUCGAAUUCAUAUUUCAGUUAUGUGAGU